UACGGAGGGUGCAAGCGUUAUCCGGAUUCACUGGGCGUAAAGGGUGCGUAGGUGGCUUGGUAAGUUCGAUGUGAAAUCUCCGGGCUUAACCCGGAAAUGGCAUUGAAUACUAUUGAGCUGGAGGUUUGGAGGGGGGACUGGAAUUCUCGGUGUAGCAGUGAAAUGCGUAGAUAUCGAGAGGAACACCAGUGGCGAAGGCGAGUCCCUGGACAACACCUGACACUGAGGCACGAAAGCUAGGGGGAGCAAACAGG
rnacentral:rRNA from 1 species